rnacentral:misc_RNA from 1 species
GGAAGGAUCAUUGCAAAUCGGGGGUGGUUUGGGUGUUGGUGUUUGGCCAUCACUCGUUAAACCGCCUGACAUACGCACAGAGCUUUGCUCUGAUGUGCACGCUUGCUUGUUUGACAAAUUGAAUAACAUGUAACAAAUACAACUUUUAACAAUGGAUCUCUUGGCUCUUGCAACGAUGAAGAACGCAGUAAAGUGCGAUAUGUAGUGCGAUUUGCAUGAAUCUGUGAGUCAUCUAAUCUUUGAACGCAACUUGCGCCGGUUUCCGGCAUGUUUGUUCGAGGGCCGUUUCUGAAUGCGAUUAUCGCGAACUGGCCUUUGUUCGGCAAGGACUGGGCUGAAACAGAGUCAGUAAAUGGCAAGUGUGUCACGCCGAGUGCUAAGCAUUCUUGGCGUUGACUACGUUAGUCAUCACUCUUUACUCUUUGGCCUCGAAUCAAGCAAGAUUACCCGCUGAACUUAAGCAUAUCAGUAAGCGGAGGAAAAGAAACUAACAAGGAUUCCCCUAGUAACGGCGAGUGAAGCGGGAACAGCUCAAAUUUGAAAUCUCGGCAUUUCAUGUCGCGAAUUGUAGUCUAAAGAGGGUGAUCUAGGAGGGGAGAGUGUCCAAGUUCCUUGGAAUAGGACGCCAGAGAGGGUGAGAGCCCCGUUUUGACACUCGACCCAACUGUAACGAGAGCCUCUCGACGAGUCGAGUUGUUUGGGAAUGCAGCUCAAAGUGGGUGGUAAAUCUCAUCCAAGGCUAAAUAUUGGCAAGAGACCGAUAGCGAAAAAGUACCGUGAGGGAAAGAUGAAAAGAACCUUGAAAAGGGAGUUAAAUAGUGCGUGAAAUUGUUAAAAGGGAAACGAUAGAGACCAGUGUUGGUGGGCAGUUCAAGCUGGUGUCUUGAUGCCGGUGGCGACUGCCCAUCGAGUCAAUGUCAGUUGUGGCUGUCGGAUGCGCGCUGGGGAAAGGUGGAGUUUAGAUUCUUUAUAGUCCCUGGUUGCUGCGAUCGUCGCGACUGAAAGUUUGGGGCCGCUCGGUGACCAAGGAGGAACGGCAGGCGGACAGCAUGCUGAUCGUGUGUCCUCACUUUUUGCAAGCCAAGGCCUACUCGAACGCCUUUGACGAAAUGGUCUCUAACGACCCGUCUUGAAACACGGACCAAGGAGUCUAACAAUACUGCAAGCAUUAGAGUGGCAAACUCGAGGUGCGCAAUUAAAGUGAAAGCCUGUGAGUCAUUUCGGUGAUGCAGCAGGGACCGGUUGGUUAUCAUGAUCACACCGCGUACGAGUAAUGUUGUUGGGACCCGAAAGGCGGUGAACUAUGCCUGACUAGGGCAAAGCCAGAGGAAACUCUGGUGGAGGCUCGUAGCCGUUCUGACGUGCAAAUCGAUGGUAAAAGUUGGGUAUAGGGGCGAAAGACUAAUCGAACCGCCUAGUAGCUGGUUCCCUC